rnacentral:rRNA from 1 species
CCUACGGGUGGCAGCAGUGAGGAAUAUUGGUCAAUGGGCGCGAGCCUGAACCAGCCAAGUAGCGUGAAGGAUGACUGCCCUACGGGUUGUAAACUUCUUUUAUAAAGGAAUAAAGUGAGGCACGUGUGCCUUUUUGUAUGUACUUUAUGAAUAAGGAUCGGCUAACUCCGUGCCAGCAGCCGCGGUAAUACGGAGGAUCCGAGUGUUAUCCGGAUUUAUUGGGUUUAAAGGGAGCGUAGGUGGGUUGUUAAGUCAGUUGUGAAAGUUUGGGGCUCAACCAUAAGAGUGCAAUGGAUACUGGCAGUCUUGAGUGCGGUUGAGGUAGGCGGAAUUCGUGGUGUAGCGGUGAAAUGCUUAGAUAUCACGAAGAACACCGAUUGCGAAGGCAGCCUGCUGAACUGCCACUGACGCUGAAGCUCGAAAGUGUGGGUAUCAAACAGGAUUAGAUACCCGGGUAGUC